UACGUAGGGUGCAAGCGUUGUCCGGAAUUAUUGGGCGUAAAGAGCUCGUAGGCGGUCUGUCGCGUCUGCUGUGAAAACUCAGGGCUUAACCCUGAGCUUGCAGUGGUUACGGGCAGACUAGAGUGCGGUAGGGGAGACUGGAAUUCCUGGUGUAGCGGUGAAAUGCGCAGAUAUCAGGAGGAACACCGGUGGCGAAGGCGGGUCUCUGGGCCGUAACUGACGCUGAGGAGCGAAAGCAUGGGGAGCGAACAGG
rnacentral:rRNA from 1 species